CAACCAUGUUAUGUUUACAUCAGCUCUAUAUCAUUACUAUAGAAAAUGCAGGUAAAAAGAGCGUUUUGCGUUAUGUAAUCAGAUUUUCGAUUGAAAACACUGAAAAUGCAUAUUAUCUCAAGCAGAGUGUCACGACAUUCCUUUCGGCUUUCUCCGAAUUUCGCACAGCUGGUUGCGAAUAAACUCGAUCGUCAUGCUUACGUUCCGCAAUCAGCUCAGGGACGACUUUUUACCAUAAUUAGGCGUUCGAAUCGAGGAAUAUUCUCUAAAUCUUUGCCAUAUGAGCGUGAAAUAUACAGAGCUGGCUACAUUCCUUGACUUGAUACAAAGUUUAUGUAACUGACAAGUUUUCGUUCUGCUGAUAAAAAAAUUACAAAUUACAUCUGAGGUUUGCAAUGCUCUCGUGGUCUUACUGAAAUUUUGCGUAGCUUGACACCAGCCUUAAAUGGUUUGCACAGCAACUGAGUACAUUGAUUUGGAUUACGAGCGAAUUCUCAUGGUGCUAUGCAUUUGAUACAAUAUUUACGGAGGACGUGAAGCAUAAAGAUACCACGUUAGAACAAAAUUCUAAUGACCUGAUCGGGAUGAACUGUUUGAUUAGGGAGAACGUAAUAUAAUGCUUGCAAUAUCUGCUAUAUGCGAUGUAUACCAAAACCAAAACAUGGAAAAUAAGUUCAAGUAACUUUGCAAAAAGAAAUCAAGCAAUUUAGGAAUUGUCAAGCCCUUGGAUCAAUAUGUACCUGUCAUCGAAUCAGAUCAUUUUCUAAGCAAAUAGGUAUGCGAAGAUAUCGGCGAAAUGAUAGUACGCUACACACUGAACAUGGAGAUAUUUUAACUUUUUGGGAGCUGCAUCGAGAACAUUGUCACGAAAAGGUACGGCUAUAAAGCCGCACGAAUGUUCACAGCUUAAUUCAUAGCAUAGUACUGCCGCAUUUAAGUUAAAAAUAUAUUGUUGAGUAAGAUUAAAGUACGUGGUUUUAUCCAUAUUCAUUAUACACAA